UACGGAGGGUGCAAGCGUUAUCCGGAUUCACUGGGUUUAAAGGGUGCGUAGGUGGGUUUGUAAGUCAGUGGUGAAAUCUCCAAGCUUAACUUGGAACUGCCGUUGAUACUAUAAAUCUUGAAUGUUGUGGAGGUGAGCGGAAUAUGUCAUGUAGCGGUGAAAUGCUUAGAUAUGACAUAGAACACCAAUUGCGAAGGCAGCUCACUACACAAAGAUUGACACUGAGGCACGAAAGCGUGGGGAUCAAACAG
rnacentral:rRNA from 1 species